GAUGAACGCUGGCGGCGUGCCUAAUACAUGCAAGUCGAGCGAACAGACGAGGAGCUUGCUCCUCUGACGUUAGCGGCGGACGGGUGAGUAACACGUGGAUAACCUACCUAUAAGACUGGGAUAACUUCGGGAAACCGGAGCUAAUACCGGAUAAUAUAUUGAACCGCAUGGUUCAAUAGUGAAAGACGGUUUUGCUGUCACUUAUAGAUGGAUCCGCGCCGCAUUAGCUAGUUGGUAAGGUAACGGCUUACCAAGGCAACGAUGAGUAGCCGACCUGAGAGGGUGAUCGGCCACACUGGAACUGAGACACGGUCCAGACUCCUACGGGAGGCAGCAGUAGGGAAUCUUCCGCAAGGGGCGAAAGCUUGACGGAGCAACGCCGCGUGAGUGAUGAAGGUCUUCGGAUCGUAAAACUCUGUUAUUAGGGAAGAACAAAUGUGUAAGUAACUAUGCACGUCUUGACGGUACCUAAUCAGAAAGCCACGGCUAACUACGUG
rnacentral:rRNA from 1 species